ACAAGCGGAGGAACAUGUGGUUUAAUUCGAUGAUACGCGAGGAACCUUACCUGGGCUUAAAUGUAGAGUGCAUGAUGUGGAAACAUGUCUUCCCUUCGGGGCUCUCUGCAAGGUGCUGCAUGGUUGUCGUCAGCUCGUGCCGUGAGGUGUCGGGUUAAGUCCCAUAACGAGCGCAACCCUUAUCGUUAGUUGCCAGCGGGUAAUGCCGGGAACUCUAACGAAACUGCCGGUGUAAACCGAGAGGAAGGUGGGAUGACGUCAAAUCAGCACGGCCCUUAUGUCCCAGGGCUACACACGUGUUACAAUGGCCGGUACAGAGGGCAGCUACCUGGAGACAGGAUGCGAAUCUCGAAAGCCGGUCUCAGUUCGGAUCGGAGUCUGCAACUCGACUCCGUGAAGCUGGAUUCGCUAGUAAUCGCGCAUCAGCCAUGGCGCGGUGAAUACGUUCCCGGGCCUU
rnacentral:rRNA from 1 species